GUAUAAAUAUCUUCAUACGCAUACAUACAAACCAUAAGAAGUUUGAGUGAUCAUUUACGUACAUACAUACCAACAUAUACCUAUGAAUGUAAAUGCGGGCGCGAAAUUAAGACGCAUACUAAAUAUUUAAAACGCAAUUGAAAGCACAACGUCGUUAACUUUAAAGCUUUGUCAGCUAACUACGUAGAGCAUCCGCAUACGCAUCACCGCAUCCCGAGCAUUGCCAUCAAGAACGCAACUGUACCGCUUGGAUUGGCCGCACAAGGACAUAUUCAAUUGAGAAACUGACAUCAAAAAUAUUCUCACCCGACCC